rnacentral:rRNA from 1 species
CCCAGCCUUCCUGUUAACUCUUAAUAAACUUACACAUGCAAGCAUCUACACCCCAGUGAGAAUGCCCUCUAGGUUAUUAAAACUAAGAGGAGCUGGCAUCAAGCACACACCCUGUAGCUCACGACGCCUUGCUUAACCACACCCCCACGGGAAACAGCAGUGACAAAAAUUAAGCCAUAAACGAAAGUUUGACUAAGUUAUAUUAAUUAGGGUUGGUAAAUCUCGUGCCAGCCACCGCGGUCAUACGAUUAACCCAAGCUAACAGGAGUACGGCGUAAAACGUGUUAAAGCACCAUACCAAAUAGGGUUAAAUUCUAACUAAGCUGUAAAAAGCCAUGAUUAAAAUAAAAAUAAAUGACGAAAGUGACCCUACAAUAGCCGACGCACUAUAGCUAAGACCCAAACUGGGAUUAGAUACCCCACUAUGCUUAGCCCUAAACACAGAUAUUACAUAAACAAAAUUAUUCGCCAGAGUACUACUAGCAACAGCUU